rnacentral:rRNA from 1 species
AGACCGGUCUACUGGUCGUGCUUUUGUACGUACUGGUAUAAUCGGUUUCUCUCUUCUGACGAACUAUAAUGCCAUUAAUUUGGUGUUUUAGGGAAUCAGGACUGUUACUUUGAAAAAAUUAGAGUGUUUAAAGCAGGCAUACGCUUGAAUACAUUAGCAUGGAAUAAUAGAAUAGGACUU